CGCGCGGACCGGGAGGGUGUUGGGUUACCUCACCACCACGGCGCGCGGGCCCUGCGCGCACGGACAGCGGACGGGACGGAUCAUUUGUCUCCGCGGACGCCGGGGCCGCCCUCCGCCACCUGUACAAGCAACCGUCGCCUCCGUGUGCGUCUCUUCAAUCAUUCUGACCGGCCCCGGUAAUUAUUCUCAUGUGUCACAGCUCAGCAGGCAACGGUGAAAACUCAAGCUUCCCUGAUUAGACAAGACCCGCAGAUCACGGAGGGUAGAAUCCGAAACCGGCCCUCGUGCUGCUCCAGAAAUCUCCUGCCCGGGGCGGGGGGCCGAGGGCUUCCCCCCGCCUCUGCUCAGUGACAGAAACAGGAGAAACAGCUUUCUCUCUGAAGGUGGGAGGAAAGCCUGUCCAGGA